GAAAGAUGGCGUAAGCUAUCGCUUUUGGAUGGACCCGCGGCGUAUUAGCUAGUUGGUGAGGUAAUGGCUCACCAAGGCGAUGAUACGUAGCCGAACUGAGAGGUUGAUCGGCCACAUUGGGACUGAGACACGGCCCAAACUCCUACGGGAGGCAGCAGUAGGGAAUCUUCCACAAUGGACGCAAGUCUGAUGGAGCAACGCCGCGUGAGUGAAGAAGGCUUUCGGGUCGUAAAACUCUGUUGUUGGAGAAGAAUGGUCGGCAGAGUAACUGUUGCCGGCGUGACGGUAUCCAACCAGAAAGCCACGGCUAACUACGUGCCAGCAGCCGCGGUAAUACGUAGGUGGCAAGCGUUAUCCGGAUUUAUUGGGCGUAAAGCGAGCGCAGGCGGUUUUUUAAGUCUGAUGUGAAAGCCCUCGGCUUAACCGAGGAAGCGCAUCGGAAACUGGGAAACUUGAGUGCAGAAGAGGACAGUGGAACUCCAUGUGUAGCGGUGAAAUGCGUAGAUAUAUGGAAGAACACCAGUGGCGAAGGCGGCUGUCUGGUCUGUAACUGACGCUGAGGCUCGAAAGCAUGGGUAGCGAACAGGAUUAGAUACCCUGGUAGUCCAUGCCGUAAACGAUGAAUGCUAGGUGUUGGAGGGUUUCCGCCCUUCAGUGCCGCAGCUAACGCAUUAAGCAUUCCGCCUGGGGAGUACGACCGCAAGGUUGAAACUCAAAGGAA
rnacentral:rRNA from 1 species